CCCGCACAAGCGGUGAGCAUGUGGUUUAAUUCGAUGCAACGCGAGGAACCUUACCAGGGCUUGACAUCCCGGGAACCCGCCUGAAAGGGCGGGUGCCCUUCGGGGAGCCCGGAGACAGGUGGUGCAUGGCUGUCGUCAGCUCGUGUCGUGAGAUGUUGGGUUAAGUCCCGCAACGAGCGCAACCCUUGUCAUUAGUUGCCAUCAUUUGGUUGGGCACUCUAAUGAGACUGCCGGUGACAAACCGGAGGAAGGUGGGGAUGACGUCAAGUCCUCAUGGCCCUUAUGGGUAGGGCUUCACACGUCAUACAAUGGUCGGUACAGAGGGUUGCCAACCCGCGAGGGGGAGCUAAUCCCACAAAGCCGAUCGUAGUCCGGAUCGCAGUCUGCAACUCGACUGCGUGAAGUCGGAAUCGCUAGUAAUCGCGGAUCAGCAUGUCGCGGUGAAUACGUUCCCGGGUCUU
rnacentral:rRNA from 1 species